rnacentral:rRNA from 1 species
UACGGAGGGGGCAAGCGUUACCCGGAUUGACUGGGUGUAAAGGGUCCGCAGGCGGUUAGAUGUGUAGGUUCUGAAAUCCUCCGGCUCAACCGGAGAAUUGGAACCUAUACUAUCUAACUUAGAGUCAGGAAGAGGAAGGUGGAACUGCCGGUGUAGCGGUGAAAUGCGUAGAUAUCGGCAGGAACACCAGUGGCGAAGGCGGCCUUCUAUUCCUGAACUGACGCUCAGGGACGAAAGCGUGGGGAGCGAUCGGG